CUUUAAUUGGAUCAUUGGCAAAAACGAAAUUUUGUAACGCAGUAGGACAUCCCAUUAGUAAACCGAUUUGGGCGGAUUCGUCGGAUUCUGAUAUUCUCGACCGAUUUGUGCGUAUAUGCAGAAAUCUUUCUCAUUAUUAUANNNNNNNNNAAAAAAAAAGAGUUUGUAUCGAAUAAAAUAUAUACUUCGACUUUCUUGUGUUAAAACUUUGGCCCGUAAACACAAAAGUACUGUACGCGCUUUUUUGAAAAGAUUAGGUUCGGAAUUAUUAGAAGAGUUUUUUACGGAGGAAGAACAGAUUCUUUCUUUGAUCUUUCCAAAAGUUUCUUCUAGUUCGCGC
rnacentral:misc_RNA from 1 species